CUCCGUGCUCAACGAUUCUAACAUAGCCUGAGUAAAAGGUGCGGUAGGGCCAUAUUGCGCACAUGCCAUUUUUAACUCUUUGAGUUCCUUAAAAGAUAUCGGCCGAUGGAUUCUGACCAUAUUCCCUUGAGCGUCAGCUUCCUCAAAUACUGGACAAGCUAAAUGAAAGCCCUGGGUAUCUUCCCCUCUGUCAACCGCCUGUUGCAGGGUAGCUUGUAUUGGCGACAGAGACUGAGAAUUGACAGACAAAGGCCUGGGUCCUGGGGGAUGUUUGAUUAUGGCUAUAAGAGGGUCCGUUUUUUUCAUUAAUCUUGGAGCUGCAACCGGCGGGGGAUCAAGACCAGCAAUUAUACUAGGAACUAUUCCUCCCUCACCCUGAGUCUUCUGGUCUUCCUCUUCCACCGUUAAGCCUGUCUGCCACUGCUGACAAAGAGACUCCAAUCUCUUUCCCAAUCUAGUAAUCCUUUCGGUCACGUCCUCAUUCGCUGGCUGUCUGGAUUUUUCGGUUUUCCUGGCCACGGCUACGAUGGGGGGGGGGCAGUCCUCAUUGUUAUACCUAGCAGCCUCUUCUUCCAAAGCAUCAGCAUCUCCCGGGUUUAGGGGUCCCUCAUCCGGAAAAAAACCCUUCCUUAGUGCAGGCUCUGCCUCAGCAUACACUGGCGGAGCAGAUGGCUUAGUUUCACUUUCUAUAGGAGGCGGAGGGACAACCUCGGGAACACCAGCCUUGUCAGGCUCCUCCGAGGAAGGACUUGAGGAGGGUCCUUCAACCCUCUCUCCCUCAUACCGAGGAUCCAAACUAUCUCUAAUUAAAGCCCAUAAACUAAAAGCAUCUAUAGGGAUUUUAGUAGGUCCAUGACCAUCGUAAUAGUCCUGAAGUCGCCUUCCCACCUUAUUCCAUACUUCUAAAUCUACUGUGCCUUCUUCAGGGAACCAAAGACAAACUUUCUCUACAAAUUCUAAAAAAUUACAUAACUGUUCAUGCCCUACCUUUGCUCCACGAGCGCGAAGCAUAUUUUAAGCAUAUGCUCAAAAAGCAUUCGGCUGUUACCAAUACCCAUCUUGUUACUCCCGAGUGCAUUCACCGCCCUUAAUUUACUUAUCUGAGCUCACAAUCCGUGGUGUCCUUCACUAUGGUCCCCCGUAUUCAGGUCCCUGUUCGGGCGCCACCCGUGAUGGAGCCAGGCGUCACUUGUCGAACAGCACCUGAAUGGGGGAGUGAGGAUGAAGAAAAAGAAAGACGCAGAGAUGGAGUCGGGAGCCCCCCAGAGAGACUGCCGCCGCUGCUUUUUUAUUCUCCUCCCCUUUUUAUCACAGGUUUACAAAACGUUCAUCAUGUUCCAGGACAAUUUCUGAAGAAGAGUGUUAAGAGGUGUCUCCGGGCAUGGUGGCACAUGCGUGUGAUCCCAGCACUCGGGAGGCCACAGGGAACAGGGAACUUCCGCAUAACCAAGGGAUGACCUCCCUUUGUUGGUGACUCUCUGCCUAGUUAAGGUCUUUCUGCCCCACCGGUUUCAUGGUCAGAUGUUCCAGUCAGACAGGGGCUUCCCGAAAGCGGUGACUCCAUCCCCCCUGACCGAAACCUGUUGCUACCUACCCCAGCCCCAAUCCCCCACCCCCACCAAUGGACCAGUGCUCUCCCACCUGCAAGAUCCCUAUAUAAGCUUCCGGCUCAGCCCAUGCAGUUGCUGGUCUCCAUUCUGUGAGUCAGCCCGGCAGGCUGCAGACUGCCGCCCCAAUAAAGCUUGCUUGAACGUCUGUGUGUGCUCCCCUUCUUCAGAGACCCUUUCAGUUUAUAUGUCACAUCUAAUUGAAAGCUUAAGG
ensembl:lncRNA